UACGGGGGGGGCAAGCGUUGUUCGGAAUUACUGGGCGUAAAGGGCUCGUAGGCGGCCAACUAAGUCGGAUGUGAAAUCCCCAAGCUUAACUUGGGAACUGCAUCCGAUACUGGAUGGCUUGAAUCCGGGAGAGGGAUGCAGAAUUCCAGGUGUAGCGGUGAAAUGCGUAGAUAUCUGGAGGAACACCUAUUGCGAAGGCAGCUCGCUGGGACGUUACUGACGCUGAGACGCGAAAGCGUGGGGAGCAAACAGG
rnacentral:rRNA from 1 species